GACGAACGCUGGCGGCGUACUUAACACAUGCAAGUCGAACGGAAAGGCCCUGCCUGCAGGGUACUCGAGUGGCGAACGGGUGAGUAACACGUGGGUGAUCUGCCCUGCACUUCGGGAUAAGCCUGGGAAACUGGGUCUAAUACCGGAUAGGAGCCAUUUUUAGUGUGAUGGUUGGAAAGUUUUUUCGGUGUAGGAUGAGCUCGCGGCCUAUCAGCUUGUUGGUGGGGUAAUGGCCUACCAAGGCGGCGACGGGUAGCCGGCCUGAGAGGGUGGACGGCCACAUUGGGGCUGAGAUGCGGCCCAGACUCCUACGGGAGGCAGCAGUGGGGAAUAUUGCACAAUGGGCGCAAGGCUGAUGCAGCGACGCCGCGUGGGGGAUGACGGCCUUCGGGUUGUAAACUCCUUUCGCUAGGGACGAAGCUUUUUGUGACGGUACCUAGAUAAGAAGCACCGGCUAACAACGUG
rnacentral:rRNA from 1 species